rnacentral:lncRNA from 1 species
UUUUUUUUUUUUUUAUUAGCUUCUAAGGCAGGUUAACAGGUUCCUCCAUCUCUGCCGAGACGGUGAAACUGCCGGUUCCCCAGCCGGCCCUGUCACAGCGAGGCAGGGGCAGCCUUUCGGAGACUGCCUGAGCCGCCAAGACCUAAGAUCUGCUUCUUGAGCUUCGAUCUGUCACGAGCCAGGCAUCACAGAAGGAAAUUAAUUUUUUCAAAACAAAUUUCCUCAAACCACAUAAAAGAAAUUCUGUUUUUGUUUUUCUCACGAGCAGAGCAUAGAGGGAAGAAGGGAGGUUUGGGGUCACUCCCCAGGGGGAUUCUGGAUGCGUUUGCCGGUCUGCAAAACUCCUGGAAGGGCUGUGCGAGGACCCGCACAGUGAGGACAGCAAGGCUUGGCCACGGUCCAGGCAUGUGGCCACCCAGGGCCCGUGCGCUGCUGUCACCGUCCUGCUGGGACACACCUCUUCGUUUCUGCUUCUAGGAGGCUUCACUCAGCUCUAGUUUCAAGGCCAUUCUGGGACCUCCUGACAUCCCUGCGAUGUCAGCCCCACGCUCCCUCUGGAUUAUCCUCAGACCUGCAUCACCUCCACCCACGGGCCUUGCCUGGACUUCCUGCCCCGUCCCUGCCCCUGAAGCCACUGCUGAGGCCAGGCAGGACACCCAGCGCCCUGGACAUCUCAACCCCUUGCUCUGGGGUUCCUGAGCCCAGGGAGGUGGGACCUCUCCCUGCGGAAGCCUGGGUUCCCCCUUUGAAAAUCAGGGGCUCGAAUCCCCGUGUGACUGCUCGACAGCAGGAGAUGACAUGUGUGCAAUGUUUCAUAAACCGGGAGAGGGCUGAGCGGGCGAGGGCUGUGUCAGCCCCCUCCCACCCCAACUGCUCGAGGGAGGACGCUCCUCUUGGUCACCGGGAAGAUGGGUGGGCAGCAGGGACGGUGGGCUCCAGGGAGCCUGUGGAUGGGACCUGGUCCCAAGGCUGCAGCCUGAACCUGGGGUGUGUGCGAAGGAGACAGGAAAGAAGGACCAGACCUGGCCAGGUCAAGCUCUCAUCGCUCCCCUAAGUGACUCUCAGCCUCUGUUCUUGCCCUUCCGGCCAGCUCUUCCCCCAAAAGCCCUUUAAGCAAAUCCACUGUGUGUAGGGACCACCCAGCCCCUUCCCUGGGGCACAUCUGAGAAGGCGGGAAACUGCCAGCCCCGGGUCAUUCCUCAGAGGCAGCGUGGAGCAGUGGGGCCAGUGCAGGCUCUGGGGUUGCAGGGAAACCCUGCUCCCAUCUCCUGGGGUUCCAGCACAGCCGUGGGGCUGAGGGCUCAGCAGGCAGACUGCAGGCACCAGCCAGGGGACCCAGGGACCCCCGGUCUCAGAUAAUCACAGCAGGCCAUUGCAGGGUCACUGGGAGUUAAGCCGGGUACCUGGCACACAGUAGCACCUAAUAAAGAUGAGACACUUUCUAUUGCUAGUAUUCACGCGGCUGGGCUGGCAACCCCGUCAGUAAGAGGGCGGUUAAAGGCGCACCUGCCCCGGAGUUUAUUAAGAGGAUGAAAUGAGACGAUGCUCGUAAAGUGCUCAGCGUGGUAUCUGACACUCAGCAAGGGCUCGACACAGGAGAGCUCUAAUGAUUCAGCUUGGAGGGGAAGUCCUCGGCCUCUGGCUUAAGUUUUCCAGGAAGCCAGGCUGUUGGGAGGAGGGGCCAGCCUCCGCUUGAGCAGGGAGAUGCGCUCUGGCCAGUGACUAAGGCUCGGGCGGCAGGAUGCAGCGGCUCGGGCAGGGCGGGGUUGGGCUGAGGCCGAGGCUGGCCCGCGUUCAGGGUGAUGCAUUUUUACCGUAAGGCCCUGGGUGACUCCAGAGCCAGCGCUGGCCUCCCGGUCCCUGGGGCCUGACACUCACCAGCCAGCAAUGAGAGAUGCUUCGUAAAAGAGGCAGAGACUCUGGAGCCCUCAAAAGCACACACAGUGAGAAAGACGGGGACAGGGCCUGGGAGGAAAGGACAGAUUCACAGGCACGUGGCAUUUAAUAAAUGCCACCCUCUGUUUGUUUAACCAUCUGAGGUGCUAUGAUAGCAGGGCAGGUCUGGGUGCCAGGCUGGGUUCUGGGACCGGAGCCAAAGUCAAUUAAGACCAGGGAUGGAGGGGAACCCAAAAAAGGGUGAGGAGAAGAGAAACACACACACACACACACACACACACACACACACACACACACACACACACUCNUCUCCCCCUCCCUCUCUCUCUCUCCCUCUCUCCCUCUCUCUCUCUCUCUCUCUCUCUCUCUCCAUGCAGAAAACAGAGGUUUCGGCCACAGGGGCUCUCCUUUCAACAGGAGAGCCCAGUGACCAGGCACUCCUGUGCUGGGUUCUUUACAAACAUUGUCUCAGGUUGUCAAGAGCCAGGACAAUAGACAGAGAUCAGGUUGUGGGCUUCAGCGACCAAAUACAAGUGUCCAAAUGCCGGCAGGGCCCCCUACUUGCUGAGUAAGGUCAGGCCAAUUAAUUAACAGCUCUGUGAUCCACUUUGCUCAUCUGUAAAAUGGGAAUGAUAAUAUCCACACCCCCUUCCAAAGGGGACCAAAGUAAGCACAGGCUCUUUGCUAGGGUUUAUAAAAUACAAGGGAAGAGUCACCUUGGGACUUAGAAAACCUCAUUCUACUGUGAUCUUCCUAUCUUCUGUAUCCCAUCACCACACUCGGCCUCUAGCAAGCAGUCAAUAUACACAUGAUGGUGUCCAGAGAGCCAGAAACCUGCCCCCGGCAGCAAAGAUACUCAGAGAGCAGGCGGGGUGAGGCUGCACCUGACCCCAGCGUUCUCCCCAAUGUCAAUUAGGCAGCGACUACUGUGUCCACUUUAGAGGUAAGGAAACCGAGGCCAUAGAUCUGCAGGCUCACGGUGUGCCUGGCCUUGGGCUGAGCAGGAAAGAAGAAAACAGCAGAAAGAGCAGUUAUUACAGACAGACUAUAGGGUUCCAGGGCAAAAGAACUGGUAAAGGGCGGGCUUAUUCACAGUUGUAUUUUAGCCCAUAUUGUCUCAACCAGCCUUUGGGGAAUAGCAAUAAUUUCUUCUGCUUCGAUCAACUUCAUUUACCAUCUCUAGCCCAAUUCUUUUCUAAUAGGGAAUAAAAGUGCAGCCACUAAAAGUCAGACAUUCUUUUAAACACAUCCAACCCCGCUGUGUGGCUGUGGGUUAGCUAGCUACCCUCUCUGAGCCUCUCAUGUGCAAACUGAGCAAAAUACUCGCCUCCCUCCUGUUAUGGGGUGAGAAAAGACCACCAUGUGACCAGCCUUCUAGACGGGGCACCCCUUGUCAUAAACGAAAGGCACAUUGUGAAAAAGUGACCUUGGGUUUAACUUUGCCACGCCACUGUGAAAAUGAAAAGGGUAAACUUUAAUAAAUACUGACUAUAUAAAUGAAUCCAGUCGUGACCCGAGAGCUUUCUGCUUGGCGAAAACUGGAGAAAAAGGAAUUUGAGAAUGAGCUCAAAAGGUCGGAGAGAGAGCGUCAUGGGUCAAGUGGAGGCUGACAGGUGCUGGGGGAAGACUUGCUUUUCUGAAAUUCUAGGGAUUCCAGCAACAAGGGACCAGCCACAGGCACUUCCAGGUAAAAGAAAGGCUCUUGCAACACUGUAAAUCACCUAUGCUUCAAUAAAAUUUAAAAAAAAGAAGAAAGUCACUGUUCCCAAAUUCUGACCCAUGUGCACUGGCUCUGGGGAGAGACUCAGUUUUCUUAUCUGUUCAAUGGGGAUGAUGUUAUUUUCUGCCGUAUUCACACAAAGCCCUUAAGACAGUCUAACACCCAGUAAGUGUGCAAUAAGUGUGAGCUACUCCUUUUUAUUCCUGGGUGAUAUUAUUGCCACUAUCCCUCCGUGGUCCCUCUUCUUUCUUCUUCUUGGGAAUCAGCACUUUCUCGGAGACAAACGACAGGGACCGAAGUGGUGCUAUUCUUUAUUGCUUUGGAAAAAUAAAAUAAAGAUCACAACCAUUUCCUUUCUAUUCUGAGUGCCCAGAUGACCUGGAAACACCCGGAGACUUAAAGAGACUUUCUUAGCCCUGAGUUCAUCUUCCUGCAAAGCCUUAAACUUUUGCUCCUUCCUUUCACUAGACUACAGGCUCCCCAGGGACGGAGAGCAUAUCUGCUCUGCUUGCCACGAGACGCCCAGCACUUGGGACAGUGGCUAAUUUACAUUAGGUACUCGGGAGAAUUAACGGGGUAACUGGCGUAUAAUCAUCGCUCUACAAGUUUGGGUGCAUCCCUGUGAGCAGAGGAGCCAACGAUCAUAAGUUCUCCCCACGCACUUCUCUUGGGACAGCUCGCCUGUACCCAGACAGACCAGCGGCAACUCGGCCUAGAGGGGUCGGCCUGCGUCUGUACCAGCCUCCGGGUCAGCCCUGGCGCCGUGCGAUACAGAGCUGCACUGGGCUCACCUCCAAAACACCUUAAUACACAUCCACAGGUAUGACUCUCUCUUCCUCCUUCCCAACCAACUGUGAGGUUGGCAGCUUUUGUCUUCUAGUUCAGAGAAACAAAACAAGGUUCAGAAAUCUCAGCGUUCGCUCCCUGGACCAGAGAGCUGACAAGGGGCAGCAAGAGUCCUUGAAGCCAGCCUGGAUCCCAGGCCCCUGGCGUCCACAUCCCGAGCUCAACCACAUGCGAAAUAAAUGAGGACAAGUUGAGGGAGGAAUAAACGCAAACUAUGGUGAGAGCUUCCCAAAGAAUCCAGCCCCCUCUGUACCUGGACGGCAGCGAACACAGCCGAGCGUGGGUCUAACGGUGAUGCUCCCUGCCAACUCGAGUGCACUGAGGAAGGGGGUCCUUUCAGGCAUGCGAUGGAUGAGCGCUACCCAUCUUCCCAGGGGGUCGGGGGGUGGUCAGGCGGGGCCGUGAGGAUGCAGGCUGCCCUCGGGACCGGCGUGUGGUGUGUGCCUGUCACAGGGACAGGCAGUCAGCCUCCUGGUCACCAGGGAAACCACCACAAACCACCUCUCUCUCAUCAGACAGGCAAAACCGUGAAAAUCUCACGUACCGAGAGCGGCGGACACAGUAGGGAACCCAGGGACCGGGUGCCUAUGGGGCGGGAGUGUGUGUAAACCCAGCCAGCGUGGCUGUGCUUGAACGCAACGUGGGACCAUGUGCGAAACGGAGAAUGCUGAUCAGCUUCUAGGCGGCGGCUGCAGCGGCGGCAGCAAUGUCACCUUUGGGUAUAACCCCUAGGUGUGCUCACGGGUGCCCAAGGAACAUAGGAGGGGCCUGGCAGCCCCGUUUGUGAAACACCGCGGAGAAAAGAAGAAAGAGCAGAGGCAUCAAGCACAGGCUCUCUGGACAGCAGAGGGAUAACCAAGGAUACCGGGGCUUGGGGAACACAACCCUUCAUUGUUCGCGCGCUUCCGACCCGACUCCACCCGACCAGACCCGACUCCCAUCGCACGCUCCCUCCCUCUCCCUGUUCAUUUUCCUUCUUUUUCCCUCUUCUCAGCCUACAGCCCAGCCCCCCAGGGGAAAGUGGAAUUCCCGGAUGGAAACAGAGCGCAGACUCCCCGCAAGCUUUUCAACGUCCUUUGAGCAAGAGAGGGUCCCCUCAGCACGGGGCCUGGACCUCAGCCGUGCGCCCAGGGAGGGCAGAAGCCAACUGCCCUCCACUUAACCCAAUUUGCAGGGCCCAGAAGACGGCUAAUGAGCCUGCUCCCUGAAGUCAUCGAUACCACUUUCCGAAUCGAGUUAGCAAAUUGGUCUUAAAACCGCUUCAAAGGGGCCGGGCUGACGGUUUCCAGUGAGGCAUCCGGCCGGCCAUAUGGCCACGACUCCGGGGCAUGAGCAGCACAGGGGACAAGCUGCCUGGCUUCAUCUCCGGUUGGGGACCGCCCCGCCUCUGGAAGCCUGAUCCAGCAGAAGGGAACUCGGGUCCCCAUGAAAACGACAGCACAGCUGUGGCAGAGACAAAUCCAGGAGGACCCGUGCAGACCCGCCCAGCCCCCGGGAAAUGACAGCUCCCGCCUCAGCCCUGUCUUCUGAUAAGCUGAACCUGGAAUGACAGGAAUUAUGUGAUAACCAGGCUUUAGGUGUGGCUUCUGGGUGGGAAGCCAAAGGGGAAAGAAAAAAUCCCAUACCCAGAAGGUUUCCCCAAGUAAGCCACCUUGGGGUUGGUAAAGCAGACUCUGGCAUCUGACAGAGAACCGGACAACAGCCCUUGGAAGGUCACCUGCACACGAGAACAAUGGUGAGGAGUUCCCGUCAGGGCUCAGUGAUAAUGAACCUGACAAGUAUCCAUGAGGAUGCGGGUUUGAUCCUGGCCUCGCUCAGUGGAUUAAGGAUCCGGCGUUGUCGUGAGCAGUGGUGUAGGUCACAGAUGCGGCUCAGAUCCCUCAUUGCUGUGUCUGUGGUAUAGGCCAACAGGUGCAACUCCAAUUUGACCCUUAGCCUGAACUUCCACGUGCCGCAGGUAUAGCCCUAAAAGACCAAAAAAGAAAAAGAAAAGAACAGAACAGUGGUGAGCAGUUUGUAUAAUACCUUUUGAGGUCAGUGCUCUCCUUGCCCCCAUUUCGCAGAUGAAGAAACUGAGGUUAUGAAAGCGGAAUGGGGUCAUGCGGUUGGCACGUGGCUAAAGCAGAAAUCAAACUGGAGCCUCUUCAAACACCUCCCCCCCGCCGCCCCGGCGCCGCUCAGGCUUUAUCGUGACAUCGCUGUGACUUACAUCCCCUUCUCCACAAUUCAACACAAAAAUGGCCAAAGGAACCCGGCAUCAGAGCCAGAUAUGUUUUCCUUGAGAUGCUUUUCAUUACGGACCCUAAAUACAGCACCUACUUUUUCUUGAAAGCCCAUGUGAAGCACUGGACCGCUUAUCUUCGACCACACAAAAGUCUUGAAGGUCGUGGGAUUCAUCUUUCUCUCUUAUGGAUGAGAGGGAAGUGGCUCAGAGAUGCUGAGUAAUAUGCUCAAGGUCACACAGCCAGGAAAGAGACGAACGCUCAUGCUAGGCAUCUGACAUGCAACCCACCUCAAACACUAAACCCAGCAUCCUUUUCCUGAAACCCAGCACCUGUCUGUCGACCUUUCUGUCUCUGGGCUUCGCGGAAGAGCCUAGGUCAGCCAGCACAUGGGGAGACACGACAGAGCUCUAGACAAAGUGACUCGGCCACCCCCCUCCAAGGGAAUAUUAGAAACCAUUCUGGAUCGUCGUGCUGGGACUAGGGGGCGGGGCAGACAAUGCUGCUGGCAUCUAGUGGGUAGAGACCAGAGCGCUAAUGAAUAACCUACAACAUGCAGGCCGGCCCCACAAGGAACUCUCUGGCCUAGAACGUCCAUAAUGCUGAGGCUGAGAAACCUGCUCUACAUCCUACGUAUCUUUUCAGCUUCUUUUUCCUCUUGAUUUCAUACAGGGAGAGCUUCUCUGUAACCCAGUACAAUAAAAGAGUGCUUAUUCAUUUGCAGUAAAACUUCACAUGGGGAGUUCCCGUCGUAGAACCCAACUAGGAUCCAUGAUGCAGGUUCGAUCCCUGGACUCACUCAGUGGAUUAAGGAUUCGGCAUUGUUGUGAGCUGUGGUGCAGGUUGCAGAUGUGGCUCGGAUCUGGCGUUGCUGUGGCCGUGGUGUAGGCCCGGCAGCUGCUGCUCCGAUUUGACCCCUAACCUGGGAACUUCCAUAUGCUGCAGGUGUGGCUCUAAAAAGACAAAAAACAAAAACAAACCAAAAAACCUCACACAGAUUAUCCCUGUGCCUAACGUACCUUCCAAAGCCUCACAAUGAACGGGCCAGAAACGAGACCUGGGCUGAGAUCGAAGGCUCGAAGUGACGGUUCUAGGGUUGCCUAGAAGUCUGCUCUCUCCUCACUGAGCACCUGCUGGGUGUCAGACCCCACGCUGGGUCUGGGGGUGGUGCCAACAGGCAGGAGCUGUGAAACGUGGGGGCUCAAGUGCCAGCUCCCCAAGGGGACGUCAUGCCAUCUCCCGGAGCCACUGGAUAGGAUGGGAAGGCCGUGACACUGUCUUUUGAUUUUGAUUUUGAUUUUGAUUUUAUGAAAAGAAUUUUAAUUCGUCCUCAUUUCUUAAAAUGCCAGCAGGUUGACAGCAUCUGCAAAUGCCUUUAUUCCGGGGACACUUCCAGACCCUCAGGUCCUCAGUCCAAGGUCCUUUCGGAACCUCAAGAGAGAGGCUCCAGGUGGGAUAAGAAUCGCACUGGGAAGACAGGGGGCUGAGCUGGCAGAGGGGCCCAGGCCAGGCCCAGCUCCCUCCU